rnacentral:rRNA from 1 species
CAGUAGCCGCGGUAAUACGAAGGGGGCUAGCGUUGUUCGGAUUUACUGGGCGUAAAGGGCGCGUAGGCGGACUGAUAAGUCAGGGGUGAAAUCCCAAGGCUCAACCUUGGAACUGCCUUUGAUACUGUUUGUCUUGAGUUCGAGAGAGGUAAGUGGAACUGCGAGUGUAGAGGUGAAAUUCGUAGAUAUUCGCAAGAACACCAGUGGCGAAAGCGGCUUACUGGCUCGAAACUGACGCUGAGGCGCGAAAGCGUGGGGAGCAAACAGGAUUAGAUACCCCCGUAGUCCCUGUCUCUUAUAC